rnacentral:lncRNA from 10 species
CGUGGGGAUUACAAUUCAAGAUGAGAUUUUGGUGGGGACACAGAGCCAAACCAUAUCAGCUUUACACCCAGAAAUCUUGAAGAUUUGCACAUACAGAUGGUCUGCUUUUUUGACUUUAUGAUGGUGUGAAAGCGAUAUGCAUUCAGUAGAAACAGUAGUUCAAGUCCCCAUAUAACCAUUCUGUUUUUCACUUUUAUUACAGUAUUCAAUAAAUUACAUGAGAUAGUCAACACUUUAUUUUAAAAUACGUUUUGUGUUAGAUGAUUUUGCCCAACUGUAGGCUAAUGUAAGUGUUCUGAGCACAUUUAAGGUAGGCUAGGAUAAGCUAUGAUAUUUGGUAUGUGUGUCAGUCUAUUUUGUGUUGCUAUAAAGGAAUGCCUGAGACUGCAUAAUUUAUAAAGAAAAGAGAUACAUUUGGCUCAAAGUUCUGCAGGCUGUACAAGAAGCAUGGCACUAUCAUCUGCUUCUGGUGAAGCCUCAGGAAGCUUACAAUAAUGGAGGAUGGCUAAGGGCAGGGGCAGGCAUUUCACAAGGUGAGACAGGGAGCACAAGAGAGAGGAGGAGACACCAGGCUUUAUUAUUUGUUUUUAAUUAAACAAUCAGACCUCAUGGUAACUAAUAGAGCAAGAAUUCACUAAUUACCAUGGGGAGGGCACCAAGCCUUUCAUGAGGAUCCACCUCCAUGACCUAAACACCUUCCGCUAGGCUCCACCUCCAACACUCAGGAUCACAUUUCAACAUGAGACUCAGAGAGGACAAACAUCCAAACUAUACCAGUAGGUAAGGUGUAUUAAAAUGUAUUUUCCAUUUAGGAUAUUUUCAACUUAUGAUAGGUUUAUUGGGAUGUAACCUCAUCAUAAGUCAAGAAUCAUAUGUAUUUCCAUGGCCUUUAUAUCUGAAUUUCAAUUACUCCCCACCUCCCUGCUACCACCGUGAGAACUUUGUAGACAUUGUUUCAUAGUUUUGUAGUUUGAGUGUUGCUGUAGAUAAGUUUUAGCAUAAGCCUAAUUUUAAUUUCUUCCUUGUAUAUGAUUUCCUUGCACAGGUGUGGCUGUGUAUGAGCCAACCCCUAAGGUGUCCCAGAAUGGUCUCUUUGUUGCAGAAUUCAUGCCUUUGUGAAAUCCCCUCCCCCUGGGGGUGGUCCAUACCUGAUGAUUUGCUUCUAACAAAUGAGAUAAGGCAAAAAUGAUGGAGUAUCACCUCCAGUAUUAGCUUACAGAAAGACUGUGAUUACAUCUUGCUCUUCCUCUCUCACUCUCUAACUGACUCAUGCCAAGUAGGGUUGCCAGAUUUAGCAAAUAAAAAUACAGGAUGCCCAGGUAAAUGUGAAUUUCAGAUAAGCAAUGAAUAAUCUUUUAGUAUAAGUAUGUCUUGUGCAAUAUUUGGGACAUACUUAUACAAAAAAGUUAUUUUUUUAUCUGAAAUUUGAAUAAUUGGACAUCCUGUAUUUUAUCUGGCACCCCUAGCUCACAGAGAAGCCAGCUGUCAUAUUGUGAGUUGCUUUAUGGAAGUGUCAUGUGGCAAGGAUCUGAGGACAGCCUCCAGCCAGCAGCCAGAAAAAAAACCCGAAGCUCUGAAUUCAACAGCUCUUGAGGAAUUGAAUCUUGCCAACAACCACAUGCGUGAGCUUGGAAAUGGAUCCUCCCCUAUCAAGACCUGACAUGACUGUAGCUGCUGUAGACAUCAUGGUUGCUGCUUCACGAGAGACCCUGAGCUAGAGGCCCCAGCUAAGCCACAUUUAGAUACCUGAUUUACCAAAACCAUGGGAUAAUAUAUUUUUCUUUUUAUAAGCCACCAAGUUUUGGGAUAAUUUGUUGUGCAUCAGUAGAUAACUAACACAAGGUGUCUGGUGAAGUUUUCUUAAUCAAAACUCUUCCUUGAACUCCUCUAACAUAAUUAGAAUACUUUUUACUGUUGGUAUUUUUGUCUCCAAGGCAGGAAUCUAUAGAUCCACCAGAGAUUUUGCAUCUUUCUUCAAAUAGUUUUUCUGAUCUAUCAUUUUUGUCUAUUUCUUUUAAACUCUAUACUUUUCAAAUUAAUUUUUUUUUUUGAAUUGGAGUUUCACUCUUGUCACCCAGGCUGGAGUGAAAGGGUGUCAUCUUGGCUCACUGCAACUUUGCCUCCCGGGUUCAAGUGAUUCUCCUGCCUCAGCCUCCUGAGUAGCUGGGAUUACAGGUGCCCACCACCACGCCCAGCGAAUUUUUG